rnacentral:pre_miRNA from 1 species
ACGAGGCGUAUCUCAGACAGGUUUCUAACCUGAGUGAGAUACGCCUCGUGGA